rnacentral:lncRNA from 1 species
UAGAAUUGGUUCAUCCAAGAACCUAGAAGAGCAAUUCUAACUCUCCCUUCAAUCAAAGAUUGAAAAUAUCAAAUUGUAUUAACCUCCCUCAAAAUGAUAACAAAGUUGUUAUUUAUACCUACUCAUUGGCCAUCACCUAUAAGGCCCAAUAAGGAACUAGAAAAACAAGGAGCAUUAUACAACUCCAAAUUAAAAGUAAUCUAAAUUUUA